rnacentral:rRNA from 1 species
GACGAACGCUGGCGGCGUGCUUAACACAUGCAAGUCGAACGGAAAGGCCCUGCUUUUGUGGUGGGCUCGAGUGGCGAACGGGUGAGUAACACGUGAGAAACCUGCCCGUGACUUUGGGAUAACUUCAGGAAACUGGGGCUAUUACCGGAUAGGUGCUCCGGCGGCAUGGUGGGGGUUGGAAAGCUUCGGCGGUUGGGUAUGGACUUGCGGCUUAUCAGCUUGUUUGUGGGGUAGUGGCUUACCGAGGCUUUGACGGGUAGCCGGCCUGAGAGGGUGACCGGCCACAUUGGGACUGCGAUACGGACCAGACUCCUACGGGAGGCAGCAGUGGGGAAUAUUGCCCAGUGGGCGGAAGCCUGAGGCAGCGACGCCGCGUGCGGGAUGACGGCCUUCGGGUUGUAAAACGCUUUCGCCUGUGACGAAGCGUGAGUGACGGUAAUGGGUAAAGAAGCACCGGCUAACUACGUG